GGAGCGGGCCGGUGGUUGGCCGCUGGGUGAAGUUGGCGACGGCCGGCGGGGCUCAGAACCUGGAAGGGGAAGGGACGGAACGUGAACAUACAGGUGGAAGGAAAGCUGGCCGGAUCAAAGGGCUGGAAGCUAAGAGCUUUCCUUUAGCUCUGCUGCUGAUCUGCUGAUGGCACUAGACAAAUCCUUUCAGCUUUUUAUAAGUGGCUUCCUAUCCAUGAAGUGGGGAUACUGCUGAUGCACCCUGUGUUCUGGCAGAAUGGUGCAGGGUAAUGCACUUUGAAGAUCCCCUGGCUAAUAAUCAUUGUGGUUGCUCUCUUCUGGAUACUUUCCAAUAUGUCAAGAUCUUGCUUGAAAUGCAGUGGCUUAGACUGGAGAUAGUACUCCAGGUUGGGCCUUGCCAACCCCGGAGAGAGUGGAAGAAUCAUUUCCCAUGACUUAAUGGAAGAUGGAGCAAGUUGCUGAGUUAUGACCCAGGGACUGUCCCUUCUGCCUCCCCUGAGACUUGCAUCUCAUGCAAAGAGCAACAUGGGUCCUGGAUUGUCCCCUCCCCGUUUCCUUCGGUUUGUUUCUUGCACCACCUUCUUUGGCAGCUAAGAGUCUGUAAACUGUGGUUUUGAG